UACAGAGGGUGCGAGCGUUAAUCGGAAUUACUGGGCGUAAAGCGUGCGUAGACGGUUAUUUAAGUCGGGUGUGAAAGCCCCGGGCUCAACCUGGGAAUUGCAUUCGAGACUGAAUAGCUAGGGUACGGUAGAGGGAAGCGGAAUUUCCGGUGUAGCGGUGAAAUGCGUAGAUAUCGGAAGGAACAUCAGUGGCGAAGGCGGCACGCUAGACCUUUUCUGACGCUGAGGCACGAAAGCCAGGGGAGCGAACGGG
rnacentral:rRNA from 1 species